GACGAACCGUGCAAACGUUGUUCGGAAUCACUGGGCUUAAAGGGCGCGUAGGCGGCUCAUCAAGUCGGGGGUGAAAUACUUCAGCUUAACUGGAGAAGUGCCUUCGAUACUGGUGGGCUUGAGGGAGGUAGGGGUCUUUGGAACUUCUGGUGGAGCGGUGAAAUGCGUUGAUAUCAGAAGGAACGCCGGUGGCGAAAGCGGCGCUCUGGGCCGGUACUGACGCUGAGGAGCGAAAGCGUGGGGAGCAAACAGG
rnacentral:rRNA from 1 species